rnacentral:rRNA from 1 species
CCUACGGGGGGCAGCAGUGAGGAAUAUUGGUCAAUGGACGAGAGUCUGAACCAGCCAAGUAGCGUGAAGGAUGACUGCCCUAUGGGUUGUAAACUUCUUUUAUAUGGGAAUAAAAUGUUCCACGUGUGGGAUUUUGUAUGUACCAUAUGAAUAAGGAUCGGCUAACUCCGUGCCAGCAGCCGCGGUAAUACGGAGGAUCCGAGCGUUAUCCGGAUUUAUUGGGUUUAAAGGGAGCGUAGGUGGAUUGUUAAGUCAGUUGUGAAAGUUUGCGGCUCAACCGUAAAAUUGCAGUUGAAACUGGCAGUCGUGAGUACAGUAGAGGUGGGCGGAAUUCGUGGUGUAGCGGUGAAAUGCUUAGAUAUCACGAAGAACUCCGAUUGCGAAGGCAGCUCACUGGACUGCAACUGACACUGAGGCUCGAAAGUGUGGGUAUCAAACAGGAUUAGAGACCCCAGUAGUC